ACGGCAGAUAAGAACCAUUCAGCCUAUCUAGUCUGCCCAUUUUUUUAAAUACUUUAAUUAGUCCCUAGCCUUAUCUUAUAGUUAGGAUAGCCUUAUGCAUAUCCCACGCAUGCUUAAACUCCUUUACGGUGUUAACCUCUACCACUUCAGCUGGAAGGCUAUUCCAUGCAUCCACUACCCUCUCAGUAAAGUAAUACUUCCUGAUACUAUUUUUAAACCUUUGCCCCUCUAAUUUAAGACUAUG